UGGGGAAUAUUGCGCAAUGGGCGAAAGCCUGACCCAGCAACGCCGCGUGAAGGAUGAAGUAUUUCGGUAUGUAAACUUCGUAAGAAUAGGAAGAAUAAAUGACGGUACUAUUUAUAAGGUCCGGCUAACUACGUGCCAGCAGCCGCGGUAAUACGUAGGGACCAAGCGUUGUUCGGAUUUACUGGGCGUAAAGGGCGCGUAGGCGGCAAUUCAAGUCAUCUGUGAAAUCUCCGGGCUUAACUCGGAACGGUCAGAUGAUACUGCUUUGCUAGAGUGCAGAAGGGGCAAUCGGAAUUCUUGGUGUAGCGGUGAAAUGCGUAGAUAUCAAGAGGAACACCUGAGGUGAAGACGGGUUGCUGGGCUGACACUGACGCUGAGGCGCGAAAGCCAGGGGAGCAAACAGGAUUAGAUACCCAAGUAGUCCCUGAGCGGGCUGGCAAGGCGCAU
rnacentral:rRNA from 1 species